AUUCAUCUGAAGAUUCCCAAACAGGACGAAACGCACGUCCUGGAU
rfam:Schistosoma rodhaini strain Burundi genome assembly, scaffold: SROB_scaffold0002882